rnacentral:rRNA from 1 species
AUUUGACCUCAAAUCAGGUAGGAAUACCCGCUGAACUUAAGCAUAUCAAUAAGCGGAGGAAAAGAAAAUAACAAUGAUUCCCCUAGUAACUGCGAGUGAAGAGGGACAAGCUCAAAUUUUAAAUCCGUCGGGUUUCACCUGACCGAGUUGUAAUUUGAAGAGGCGUUUUCCGCGUUUUUGAUCAGUCCAAGUCCUUUGGGAUAGGGCAUCAUGGAGGGUGAGAAUCCCGUUCGGCUGAUCAGAUUCGCUCUACGAUACGUCAUCUAAGAGUCAAGUUGUUUGGGAAUGCAGCUUAAAAUGGGAGGUAAAUUUCUCCUAAGGCUAAAUAACGGCGAGAGACCGAUAGCGAACAAGUACCGUGAGGGAAAGAUGAAAAGAACUUUGAAAAGAGAGUUAAACAGUACGUGAAAUUGUUGAAAGGGAAACGAUUGAAGCCAGUCGUACCGGUGGGUAAUCAGCCUUUCGGCGUGAUUAUGUGGAGCGUGAGGAGUCAAACGCCCUCAUGCCUGCAUAUUCGUGUUCUUUGGGUGUACUUACCCGCAUGGUAGGUUAACAUCAAUUUCGAACGUCAUAAAAUGGUUGGAGGAAUGUAGCUUCGAUCUCGUAUUGAAGUGUUAUAGCCUUCGGCAGAUGUGAUGAUCGGGAUUGAGGAUUGCAACGGAUACCCCUCGGGCUACCCGUCUGAUCUCUGAAAGUUACUCUGGUGCCGAAAGCUCGCUUACGGUCAUCAAAGUUGACGUUCAACAGGUUAGAACGGGAUAAAUUCGUUAAGGAUGUUGACGUAAUGGCUUUAAACGACCCGUCUUGAAACACGGACCA